rnacentral:misc_RNA from 1 species
GAUGAAGAACGUAGUGAAAUGCGAUAAGUAAUGUGAAUUGCAGAAUUCAGUGAAUCAUCGAAUCUUUGAACGCACAUUGCGCCGAUUAGCAUUCUAGUGGGCAUGCCUGUUCGAGCGUCAUUUCAACCCUUAAGCCCUGUUGCUUAGCGUUGGGAGCCUACAGUACUGUAGCUCCCCAAAGUUAGUGGCGGAGUCGGUUUCACACUCUAGACGUAGUAAAUUUUUCUCGUCUGUAGUUGAGCCGGUCCCCUGCCGUAAAACACCCAAUUUAUCAAGGUUGACCUCGGAUCAGGUAGGAAUACCCGCUGAACUUAAGCAUAUCAAUAAGCGGAGGA